GGGGGCGCAGCUACACAUGCAAGUCGAGCGGUAGCACAGAGAGCUUGCUCUCGGGUGACGAGCGGCGGACGGGUGAGUAAUGUCUGGGAAACUGCCUGAUGGAGGGGGAUAACUACUGGAAACGGUAGCUAAUACCGCAUAACGUCGCAAGACCAAAGUGGGGGACCUUCGGGCCUCAUGCCAUCAGAUGUGCCCAGAUGGGAUUAGCUAGUAGGUGGGGUAACGGCUCACCUAGGCGACGAUCCCUAGCUGGUCUGAGAGGAUGACCAGCCACACUGGAACUGAGACACGGUCCAGACUCCUACGGGAGGCAGCAGUGGGGAAUAUUGCACAAUGGGCGCAAGCCUGAUGCAGCCAUGCCGCGUGUGUGAAGAAGGCCUUCGGGUUGUAAAGCACUUUCAGCGGGGAGGAAGGCGUUAAGGUUAAUAACCUUGUCGAUUGACGUUACCCGCAGAAGAAGCACCGGCUAACUCCGUGCCAGCAGCCGCGGUAAUACGGAGGGUGCAAGCGUUAAUCGGAAUUACUGGGCGUAAAGCGCACGCAGGCGGUCUGUCAAGUCGGAUGUGAAAUCCCCGGGCUCAACCUGGGAACUGCAUUCGAAACUGGCAGGCUAGAGUCUUGUAGAGGGGGGUAGAAUUCCAGGUGUAGCGGUGAAAUGCGUAGAGAUCUGGAGGAAUACCGGUGGCGAAGGCGGCCCCCUGGACAAAGACUGACGCUCAGGUGCGAAAGCGUGGGGAGCAAACAGGUUA
rnacentral:rRNA from 1 species